rnacentral:rRNA from 1 species
AUAUGGGAGAGCGCAGUGAGAAAUAUUUCACAAAAGGACGCAAGUGUGAGGCAGAGACGCCGCGUGGGAGAAAAAAUCAUUUGGGUAGAAAAACCCUUUUUUGUGUGACGAGAAAGGACGGUAUCCCAGGAAAAAAAGUCGGGUAUACUAUGUGCCAGCAGCAGGCGGUAAAACGUAGGAGACAAGAGUUAUCCGGAGUUACUGGGGGUAAAAAGCGCGUAGGCGGGUCGGUAAGAGUGUCGUGAAAGCGCCGGGGUAAACCGGGGGAGGACGAACUAGAGACUGGGUCUAGAGGGGGAUAGAGGGGGGCGGAAUUCCGGGUGUAGCGGUGAAAUGUGUAGAGAUCCGGAGGAACACCACUGGGGCAAACGGCGGCCCUGGGUCUGAACUGACGCUGAGGCACGAAAGAGUGGGGAGAGCAAACGAUUAGAGACCCCGGUAGAGCCCACGCCGUAAAAGAUGUCAACUAGGUGUCCACUUGGCUACGAUCAAUCGGUGCCGCAGCUAACGCGAUAAGUUGACCGCCUGGAG